rnacentral:rRNA from 1 species
UUUUUCACGGUUGCAUCGGUCGGCCUGUCAAACAGUGCGACGCAAGGAGAAAAUCCUCGCGUCUGCUGGGCGACGGACGGACAAUUUAUUAACACUUUUGGAUGAUCUAGGAUUUGAAGGAGAAAAAGUCAUUUUUACGAAUGAAAUCGACUGGUAAUGCGGUCGUCUAAUUUUAAAAACAACUUUUGGCAACGGAUCUCUUGGUUCUCCCAUCGAUGAAGAACGCAGCGAAUUGCGAUAAGUAAUGUGAAUUGCAGAAGUGAAUCAUCGAAUCUUUGAACGCACCUUGCGCUCCCGGCAGAUCUAAUCUGGGGAGCAUGCCUGUUUGAGGGCCGCGAAUUGUUUCGAACGACAGCUUUUUUCUUUUGGAAAAGGUUGACGGAUCGGUAUUGAGGGUUUUUGCCAUUUACCGUGGCUCCCUCGAAAUAGAUUAGCGCAUCCAUUUUAUAGGCAAGACGGACGAAAGCUCGAUUUUUGCUCUCUCUUCCCUGCCGGGUUUUGAUACUAUCAGGACUUCGGAGAGGUUGAGAUGGGUAGGAGCAUGGACGCAACGGC